AGAGUUUGAUCCUGGCUCAGGACGAACGCUGGCGGCGUGCUUAACACAUGCAAGUCGAACGGGGUGUUUAUUUCGGUAAACACCAAGUGGCGAACGGGUGAGUAACGCGUAAGCAAUCUACCUUCAAGAUGGGGACAACACUUCGAAAGGGGUGCUAAUACCGAAUGAAUGUAAGAGUAUCGCAUGAGACACUUACUAAAGGAGGCCUCUGACAUAUGCUUCCGCUUGAAGAUGAGCUUGCGUCUGAUUAGCUAGUUGGUGAGGGUAAAGGCCCACCAAGGCGACGAUCAGUAGCCGGUCUGAGAGGAUGAACGGCCACAUUGGGACUGAGACACGGCCCAGACUCCUACGGGAGGCAGCAGUGGGGAAUCUUCCGCAAUGGGCGAAAGCCUGACGGAGCAACGCCGCGUGAACGAUGAAGGUCUUAGGAUCGUAAAGUUCUGUUGUUAGGGACGAAGGGUAAGAAUCAUAAUAAGGUUUUUAUUUGACGGUACCUAACUAGGAAGCCACGGCUAACUACGUGCCAGCAGCCGCGGUAAUACGUAGGCGGCAAGCGUUGUCCGGAAUUAUUGGGCGUAAAGGGAGCGCAGGCGGGAAACUAAGCGGAUCUUAAAAGUGCGGGGCUCAACCCCGUGAUGGGGUCCGAACUGGUUUUCUUGAGUGCAGGAGAGGAAAGCGGAAUUCCCAGUGUAGCGGUGAAAUGCGUAGAUAUUGGGAAGAACACCAGUGGCGAAGGCGGCUUUCUGGACUGUAACUGACGCUGAGGCUCGAAAGCUAGGGUAGCGAACGGGAUUAGAUACCCCGGUAGUCCUAGCCGUAAACGAUGGAUACUAGGUGUGGGAGGUAUCGACCCCUUCCGUGCCGGAGUUAACG
rnacentral:rRNA from 1 species